UACGGGGGGAGCAAGCGUUGGUCGGAUUUACUGGGCGUAAAGGGCGCGUAGGCGGUCACUACAAGUCAGUUGUGAAAUCUCUGGGCUUAACUCAGAACGGUCAACUGAUACUGUCGGACUAGAGUGCAGAAGGGGCAACUGGAAUUCUCGGUGUAGAGGUGAAAUGCGUAGAUAUCGAGAGGAACACCUGCGGCGAAGGCGGGUUGCUGGGCUGACACUGACGCUGAGGCGCGAAAGCUAGGGGAGCGAACGGG
rnacentral:rRNA from 1 species